UACGUAGGCAGCAAGCGUUGUUCGGAAUUACUGGGCGUAAAGAGCUCGUAGGUGGUUUGUCGCGUUGUUCGUGAAAACUCACAGCUCAACUGUGGGCGUGCGGGCGAUACGGGCAGACUAGAGUACUGCAGGGGAGACUGGAAUUCCUGGUGUAGCGGUGGAAUGCGCAGAUAUCAGGAGGAACACCGGUGGCGAAGGCGGGUCUCUGGGCAGUAACUGACGCUGAGGAGCGAAAGCGUGGGGAGCGAACAGG
rnacentral:rRNA from 1 species